UAAAUUAAGUAUAUGAAGGGUAUUAGAUGGCACUAACAUGCUACGUAGCUCUGAGCAUGGCUCUGUCUGAUCAAGAUGAAAUAAAUGGGUUUUCCAUCAUAUUAAUUUAUUGCACUGAACAGCAAGGCACCGCCAGGAUAAUACCAGUGACAAUGAGAUGCUUUUGUCCCCUGUGCACUGGAAAAUACAAACAUGCCAAGGUUUAAUGGGAAAGUUAUUAAUGUGUUUAUACUCCUGUACUAAAAUAAAUGCUUGUAUUACUCGCCUUGCUAGGUGAAAUAUUUCAAGAUCUCUAGCCAGUUCCCAUGCACCACGAAUAUGAUGACGUUAAUGCAAAUUCAGAAGAGAAUCAACAUAACCAACAGGAACUGUGCACAUUCACAUCAAGGAAACCUAUGAUCUCUAUGUGCAAACAUCAAUGGAGAGAACAUGGAUCGUGUCCCCAUAGCAUUCGGAAUACUGAAACUUACAAGGCGCAAUUAUACAAAACAGACGAAUCAAAUGAAAUACCUCAUUCUGCGCUACAAUCUCCACCGACGCUCUAGUCAGAAACUAAAUUCUGCAAUGGUAACAUUUUACAGAACCAGAAAUUGCAUAAAUGGAACAACUUUGCAUAAACAUGAUUAACUUUCAUGCUUUACAAAGUUUGUGCAGUUGCAAAGUUCACGUUUCUGGGAGAUUGUUUGGGUUUGUUUUUUGAAGUAGGAAUAUUCUGUCUUGAAAUUUCUGUCCGAUCACUGGAAAAAAAAGCAUUGUGGCUCAUGGAAAAGUGGGGAAACCGCUGGGAAGAAUUUGUGGUUGUGCUGAGUGAAUGUAACCCAUUUGGCCCUGUUCCUUUCUCUACAUUUAUAGUAGAAACUGCCAACAUGUUUUCUGGGUUCAAUUCACAAACAUGAAGGCUGAAA